rnacentral:rRNA from 1 species
GCAGGCUGCAACUCGCCUGCAUGAAGUCGGAAUUGCUAGUAAUCGCAGAUCAGAAUGCUGCGGUGAAUACGUUCCCGGGUCUUGUACACACCGCCCGUCACACCAUGGGAGUCGGAAAUGCCCGAAGCCGGUGACCAAACCAAUAAGGAAGGAGCCGUCGAAGGCAGGUCUGAUAACUGGGGUGAAGUCGUAACAAGGUAUC